GGGGGGGGCAAGCGUUUGUUCGGAUUUACUGGGCGUAAAGGGCUCGUAGGCGGCCUCUUAAGUCGGUUGUGAAAUCCCUCGGCUCAACCGGGGAACUGCGAUCGAUACUGAAUGGCUUGAAGCCGGGAGAGGGAUGCGGAAUUCCAGGUGUAGCGGUGAAAUGCGUAGAUAUCUGGAGGAACACCCGUGGCGAAGGCGGCAUCCUGGACCGGUCUUGACGCUGAGGAGCGAAAGCUAGGGUAGCAAACGGGAUUAGAUACCCCGGGUAGUCCUAGCCGUAAACGAUGAAUGCUUGGUGUGGCGGGUAUCGAUCCCCUGCCGUGCCGUAGCUAACGCGUUAAGCAUUCCGCCUGGGGAGUACGGUCGCAAGGCUG
rnacentral:rRNA from 1 species